UCCCUGGAAAGGGGCGCCAGAGA
rnacentral:snRNA from 1 species